rnacentral:rRNA from 1 species
UACAGAGGGGGCGAGCGUUAUUCGGAAUUAUUGGGCGUAAAGGGCGCGUAGGCGGCUAAGUAAGUCUCGGGUGAAAUCCCGGGGCUCAACCUCGGAACUGCCUUUGAUACUGCAAAUCUCGAGUCCGAUAGAGGUGGGUGGAAUUCCUAGUGUAGAGGUGAAAUUCGUAGAUAUUAGGAAGAACACCGGUGGCGAAGGCGGCCCACUGGAUCGGUACUGACGCUGAGGUGCGAAAGCGUGGGGAGCAAACAGG